UCCUUGCAAAGGAACAACUUAAAAGCAAAUGGGAUGAUGAAGAUAUUGAUGACUCUGAUAUCAAGGAAUUAUGAGAGGAUGAAGAUGAACUUGCUCCGCCUUCGGCUUGUGGAAUAAGUCAAUUCAUGUUUCUGAUGCGGGGUUUUAGCAUGAUGUAGAGACUAAUAGGAUUGAAGGCCAUGGGGGGUACGGAAAGUGAUUUAGAUUGAAGAUACAUCAAUGGUAGCAAUAGGACCCUUUUUCUUUUUUGAUAUUUUUGGGGGGAAUA